UACAGAGGUCCCAAGCGUUGUUCGGAAUCAUUGGGCGUAAAGAGCGUGUAGGCGGCUUGUUAAGUCUUGCGUGAAAUCUCGGGGCUCAACCCCGAGCGGUCGUGAGAAACUGGCAGGCUAGAGUGCGGGAGAGGAGAGUGGAAUUCCUGGUGUAGCGGUGAAAUGCGCAGAUAUCGGGAAGAACACCCGUGGCGAAGGCGGUUCUCUGGGACGGUACUGACGCUGAGACGCGAAAGCGUGGGGAGCGAACAGG
rnacentral:rRNA from 1 species